rnacentral:misc_RNA from 1 species
AUACAGAUAUGAUAUUUAUAUAUGGUCUUAAUUGUAUAGGAAUACAAUGAUGUUAUGUCUGUCAUUGAAUGUAAAAAGGUGGGAGAAAUAUUGAUAACGUUUAAUAGGGAAUAGGUUAAAUUACUUCACUUUUGUCAAACCCUCGUUGACCUUUGAUGUGAAUUUAUAAAUCAGGUCCUGCAAGUUCUAAGACAAUUAUUCUGUCAGUCAGUAUAACACAAUUUCUAUAUUGUUUCCCCUAUUUUGAUGGAAUAGGCCUUGGAUUGAUUUCUAUGAAAAUUUGAAGCUUAUUGUCAACUUAUUUUUGUUUGUGAAAAUUAUUUGUAAGGGAGGACAGAUUUCUUUUGCAAGGGAAAGUGGGUGUCUAUGAUGAGGUUAAAUUAUUAGUACAUUCUAAAUGAAAAUAUUAAUUAAGCCAUGAGUAGAUCUACAUGGGUCAGCUGUCCAAGAUUCCCCUCGGGCUAAAUUGUACAAAUAAUGUGCCUAUUAAUUCAACCCUUCAUGAAACUUAAUAAUUUAAAACAUUCACAUUUUUUAAUUCAAAUAAGCAAGAAAGCAAAUAGGGAAGUUUAGUGUUACACAAUAAUACACAUACCAGCUAUAAAGGAAUUCAUACUUUGGACUUUGUAUUUGUCUUCAGAUUUUAAGGAAGUUUUUAUCAUAGCAUCAUAUUUCAAGGACCAAGUGGAGAUAUCAAAACAUAUGAAUAAAAUUCGAGGGACUGAAUAAUAAAGUGAUACCCUGCCCUAAUCAACAAAUAUAUGAUAGACCCAGAACAACACGAAUGAAAACAAAAAAUCACUAAUUAAACAUACAAAAACAAACAAUUGUGACAUCACAAAGCUUUUUAUUAAACAAUGGAGAUGCCAACAGUGCCAGAAUUUUACGCUGGACGGAACAUUUUUGUCACAGGAGCAACUGGUUUCCUGGGAAAGGUACUAAUUGAAAAACUUUUAAGAUGUUGCCCGGAUAUAAAUGGCAUAUAUAUGUUGAUGCGGCCCAAAAGAGGACAUACUGUUGCAGAAAGAUUAAAGGAUUUAGUAGAAUCAAAGAUAUUUGAAAAAUUAAAAACAACCAGUCCGAACUAUGGAGAAAAACUUCACGCAAUUGCAGGUGACAUCAUGGAACCAGAUCUUGGAAUCAGCCAAUCAGACGCUGAGUUUUUAGCAAAUGAAAUUUCAGUCGUGUUCCACUCGGCGGCAACUAUACGAUUCGAUGAACCACUGAGAGUGGCAGUUACUAUGAAUCUUCUAGCUGUUAGAGCAAUGAUCAAUUUGUGCAAGACAUUCAAACAGCUAGAUGCAUUUAUCCAUGUUUCAACAGCCUAUGCUAACUGCGAUAGGACCCAUAUUGAAGAGACAGUCUAUGAUCCUCCUGUUGAUCCACAGAAAAUUAUAGAUGCUUUAGAAUGGAUGGAUGAUGAGACAGUGGAGCAAUUAACACCAGGAUUAAUAAAACCUAAACCAAACACCUACACAUACACCAAACAAUUAGCCGAGAGUUUACUGCUAAACGAAGGCAAGGGAUUGCCGUUAGCUAUUGUGAGGCCAUCUAUUGUUACUGCAUCAUGGCAAGAACCAAUGCCAGGCUGGAUUGAUAAUUUAAAUGGUCCCAGCGGAAUGUACAUAGCUGCUGGCAAAGGAUUACUGAAGUCUGUGUUAUGUGACUCUGAUGCUGUUGCUGAUAUCAUCCCAGUUGACAUGCCUACAAACAUGUUAAUAUUGGUUGGUUGGUACACAGCCACACAUAAACCAAGAGAGGUUCUUGUAUACCAUUCCACAACAGGAACUGUGAAUCCAUUCACCUGGGGACAGAUGGAGACUGUAGUCAAUUCAUAUUUUAAGAAAUACCCAUAUGAUGAUUGUUUUCGACGUCCCAAUGUUUCCUUAACAUCAAAUGACUGGUUACAUAACUACUGGAUGUUUGUUAGUCACAUGAUUCCUGCCUAUGUCACAGACCUUGCAUUUAGACUUGCGGGCAAAAAACCAAGGAUGGUGAAGACUUACAAUAAGAUGCAUCGUUCUUUGAGUACCUUGAACUUUUUCACGUUACGAACAUGGGAGUGGACGUAUAAAAACAUAGAUUGUCUCAAAAAGGCCCUGUCUGAAGAAGAUAAAAAAAUAUUUUACUAUGAUCCACGCUUGAUCCACUGGCCUUCCUACAUAGAAAAUUACUGCAACGGUACCCGGAUAUACAUCCUAAAUGAAACACUCACCAAUGUACCCGCAGCCAGGGCACAUAUCAGAAAGUUGAGAAAUAUCCGCUAUGUGUUCAACACCGUUGUGAUCGUAGCGCUCUGGAGGUUUCUAGUGGCCCGGACAGACAUAGCAAGAAAUCUUUGGAUGUUCAUUAUGACUCUAGUGUACAAAUUCGUCAGAAUGACCCACAUUACUAGCACCCGAUGAUAUAUAUGACUGAUCAGUGAAACGUGUGAUGGAUUGUGUUUUGAAACGAUAGGGAUUCAAAUUAAAACCAAAAUACCAACCUUAAAUACCCAGAAUUCCAAAAUACCAUGGAUACUGAAUCCUUAUCAUCUUAUCAAAACCAAAUGAUCAAAAUAGUAAAAUUACUAAGCAAUUUAUGAAAACCUUGUUCACAAAAUAUACCAUGUAUAUUUGAACAUUUUGGAAUAGUUUGGAACUAUGUGAGACAUUUCUGACGAUAAUAUGAAAACAGGUUACGAAGCACUCCCUGCCAAAAGUGGAGAAAGGAGUCAGUUACAUCUUACUUUUUGGCAUCCAAAUUAAACUGGAUCGUUGGGAUAUAAAGGAGUAAAUUAUUUAUAUGGAUCAGAAAUCAGUGGAUUUUAUUAAAUUCAUAAGAAAAGUAUUACCAAAUGAUAGGUUAUAUCAUGAACAAUUGAAUAUUAUAUGUACUGUAUAUAUAGGAGGGUGUUUCAUAUUUUAGAUUUUAAACAUUAAUUGAAUUAAGCCCUAUAGACCCUUAUGUUUUCAUGUAUAUGCUGAAAAAUUGCAGGCCAAUAUCAAAACUAACCUGCUUUUGGCCUCUAAUGUACAUAUUAUAUAUAUAUGGUACUAACUAUAUAUAAUUGUAAAAUAGACAUUUGAUAUUGGAAGCAAGCAGACUCAACCAAAACCCAUGACUACUAUAGAAAUGGGCUCAGAACUUAUUUCUGAUUCUAAAAUACACUUAAGUUUUUACAAUAAAUUUAGGAUAAUUCCCGUAACUUGCAGCUUCAAUAGACUUUGUUACAAAUGAAGUGUUGCAGUUACACCCCUGUUAUGCUACCUACUUGCUUAAGCAAGUGGUUACAUAUUGUUAUAGUAUUUUUGUGACAGUGUUCUGAGUUA